rnacentral:rRNA from 1 species
AUGUGGACCUGUCUUCGUCAGCGCUAUGAGCCCUCUGGUGAUGCCUUAUACCUUUCUGUGGUUCGUCAGGAGCAUGCUCUUCAGCAGGGUGACUCUACUGUUGAUGACUUUUAUGCACAGAGUUCUGCUAUCUGGCGCCAGCUUGAUUCUCUCCGCAGUGCUGGUUGUCGUACUUGCCCCUGCUGCCAGGCUGUCCAGGCCAACUUGGAGUUUCAUCGCGUCUACGAGUUCCUGUCUCGGCUCCGUAAGGAGUUUGAGCCCUGGCGUGCUCAAUUGUUUGCUCGUGGCCGUAUUUCUCUCAUGGAGGCGCUUUCAGAGAUUCGUGCCGAGGAGACUCGCUUACGUGGUGCUGGUUUGCUGGAGGUUCCCUCUGUGCUCGCUACUCGGGUUUCUUCCACUCCACCUGCUGCACCGCCCCAUUCUCGCUCGAGUGCUCCGCCGCUCUUGCCCACUCCUUCUGGAGGCUCAGGUCACCCCCGUUCACAUUGUGACUACUGCAACAAUGAUGGUCAUAUUGAGUCCCAGUGCUACACAAAGCGGAAACACCUGCGCAAGGCGCGAUCAUCCUCCUCAGGGACUUCGUCA